rnacentral:tRNA from 1 species
AGCAAGCCCCAAGUGGUGAGACACACCAAAAUGCAAAUUUGGAGACGCACCUUUAAAGGGUGCCGGGGCUU